AUGCACCAAAAGUCUCUCAACACAAAAAUCCAUCAAAAACUCUCAAAACAACCCAAAAAAUGCAUCGAAACCUCUCAAAACAACCAAAAUAUGCCAAAAAUCCACCAAAACCUCUCAAAACACCCCAAAAAUCUCUCAACCCAAAAAUCCACCAAAACCUUUCAAAAAAAACCCCAAAAAAUCUCAAAAAUACACCAAAAUUCUCUCAACGCAAAACACCCCAAAAAUACACCAAAAUCUCUCAAAACACCCCAAAAAAUGCACCAAAAAUCUCUCAACACAAAAAUCCACCAAAAGCCUCCCAAAGCAACUGAAAAAUCCACCAAAAUUCUCUCAAAACAACCCAAAAAUGCAACAAAACCUCUUAACCAAAAUAUCCUAAAAAUCCACCAAAAACGUCUCAAAACACCCCAAAAUAUCCCCAAAUCACCCCAAAAUCUUCCUUUAAAAAUCCCAAAUUCCCCCAAAAUGCUGCGAAUGCACAAAAAAAAAACCACCUGGGACCCCCUAAAUCCCAUUUGGGACCCCCCAAACACCUCAGGACACCCCAAAUCCCUCAAGAUUCCCCCAAAAUCCCCUCACGAUCCCCCAAAUCCCCUCAGGAUCCUCCAACACCCUCAGAACCCCCUGAAAUCCCUCAAGACCCACCCAAAUCAAUCAAGAUUCCCCCAAAAUCCCCUUAGAACACCCCAAAAUCCCUCAGAACACCCCAAAAUCCCUCACAAAUCCCCCAAACCCCCUCAGGACACCCCAAAAUCCCUCACAAAUCCCCCAAACCCCCUCAGGACCCCCCAAAACCCCUCAAGAUUCCCCCCAAAUCCCCUUAGGACACCCCAAAAUCUCUCAGGACACCCCAAAAUCCCUCACGAUUCCCCCAAAUCCCCUCAGGACACCCUAAAAAUCCCUCAGGACCCCCCAAAUCCCCUCAGAACACCCCAAAACCCCUCAAGAUUUCCCCAAAAUCCCCUCAGAACCCCUCAGGACCCCUCAAGCCCCCUCACAAAUCCCUCAAACCCCUCAGAACACCCCAAAAUCCCUCAAGAUUCCCCCAAAACCCCUCAAGAUUCCCCCAAAAUC
rnacentral:lncRNA from 1 species